GAUGAACGCUGGCGGCGUGCCUAAUACAUGCAAGUCGAGCGAACAGACGAGGAGCUUGCUCCUCUGACGUUAGCGGCGGACGGGUGAGUAACACGUGGAUAACCUACCUAUAAGACUGGGAUAACUUCGGGAAACCGGAGCUAAUACCGGAUAAUAUAUUGAACCGCAUGGUUCAAUAGUGAAAGACGGUUUUGCUGUCACUUAUAGAUGGAUCCGCGCCGCAUUAGCUAGUUGGUAAGGUAACGGCUUACCAAGGCAACGAUGCGUAGCCGACCUGAGAGGGUGAUCGGCCACACUGGAACUGAGACACGGUCCAGACUCCUACGGGAGGCAGCAGUAGGGAAUCUUCCGCAAAGGGCGAAAGCUUGACGGAGCAACGCCGCGUGAGUGAUGAAGGUCUUCGGAUCAUAAAACUCUGUUAUUAGGGAAGAACAAAUGUGUAAGUAACUAUGCACGUCUUGACGGUACCUAAUCAGAAAGCCACGGCUAACUACGUG
rnacentral:rRNA from 1 species